rnacentral:rRNA from 1 species
UGGGGAAUAUUGGACAAUGGGCGAAAGCCUGAUCCAGCCAUGCCGCGUGUGUGAAGAAGGUCUUCGGAUUGUAAAGCACUUUAAGUUGGGAGGAAGGGCAGUAAGCGAAUACCUUGCUGUUUUGACGUUACCGACAGAAUAAGCACCGGCUAACUCUGUGCCAGCAGCCGCGGUAAUACAGAGGGUGCAAGCGUUAAUCGGAAUUACUGGGCGUAAAGCGCGCGUAGGUGGUUCGUUAAGUUGAAUGUGAGAGCCCCGGGCUCAACCUGGGAACUGCAUCCUAAACUGGCGAGCUAGAGUAGGGCAGAGGGUGGUGGAAUUUCCUGUGUAGCGGUGAAAUGCGUAGAUAUAGGAAGGAACACCAGUGGCGAAGGCGACCACCUGGGCUCAUACUGUCACUGCGGUGCGAUAGCGUGGGGAGCAAACAGG